GACGAACGCUGGCGGCGUGCUUAACACAUGCAAGUCGAACGGAAAGGCCCUGCUUUUGUGGGGUGCUCGAGUGGCGAACGGGUGAGUAACACGUGAGUAACCUGCCCUUGACUUUGGGAUAACUUCAGGAAACUGGGGCUAAUACCGGAUAGGAGCUCCUGCUGCAUGGUGGGGGUUGGAAAGUUUCGGCGGUUGGGGAUGGACUCGCGGCUUAUCAGCUUGUUGGUGGGGUAGUGGCUUACCAAGGCUUUGACGGGUAGCCGGCCUGGGAGGGUGAACGGGCACCAUGGGGCUGCGGGACGGCCCAGAAUCCUACCGGACGCAAGCGGCGGGAAUCUUGCGGAAUGGGGCGGAGCCUGAUGCAGCAACCCCCGGUUCGGGAAGCCCUGCUUUGGGUUUGGAACCGAUUUCGCCGUGGCCGUAGCCUUAGUGACGGUAAUGGGUAAAAAAGCCACGGCUAACUACGUG
rnacentral:rRNA from 1 species